rnacentral:lncRNA from 1 species
GACUGUUGGACACUUCCUCAGAUCGUCUUGGUAAACAUGCAGAAGAAUGCUUCCAGAGAUGGCCAAACCGCUGUAGUGUUAGCAUGAAGAGAAGAGAGAAUGGUGGUGGUGCUACACAAGCCACAGUGCUGCACCAUUUUUGUGGGAGAUGCUGAGGCAGGAAAAGUGGGGACAGUAAGCACGGGGGACAUCUUGUGCAUACUGGACAGUGUAAGCCACUUCUUGACUUUUGCCUGCUGUGAAAAUACGUUUCCAACACUGAAAUAUUACACUUCUGAGAGAACGGUGACUUUUGUUUGCGGCUGCAAGAAAAAAAGUGCCCUUUGUUUGCAGCCUGUCAAUAGAAUGACCUUUCCCUCUUGCCAAUUUAUGCUCAAGAAAUACACAUGUGAUUGUUUUCCCUUUGCUGAAUGUUUCAAGAAUCUUCCAAAUUUGUUUGAUCAAUGGUUCAGAAGCUUUCAAACUGACA